UCGGAACAGUUGCCGCGCGUUCUCUAUCACGUUCGCGUCGUUCCACCUGGCUGAAGGGUGUUCGAACGUAGAUCCGUGAUCAAUUUCGCUGACACGAGUGCUGGCCAAGGUGAAGCGCGCCAGGAAUUGGAUUUUACAUCGUCGUAUUCGAAAAUCCACCGGCACGCCUCCAGACCAUCCAGAAGCACAAUUCAGCAAAACCAACACGACUCGUCCGUUUCCUUCGAAUAACUCCGGAACAGAAAUUCUCCUUGAUGCCAAAUUGACGCGACAAUUGAAGAUCACCCCCCCAAAGAUAAAUACAGAGAGAACGGAGACCCUCGACGAAAUAAAGUAAUUAAAUCUCUUCCUCCGAUUGCGGACAAAAGGGCUGGUCACACAGCGAAAGUGACGACUGCAUGAAGCAGCAAUGGAUUAAUUGAUAGAGAAACGUUAUCGGGAUCACGGAGAUCACCGGGUUGGAUGAAAAAGAAGAGAGAAGGAGUUCCUUCCUCCGAUCGCGAGGGAUGCGAGACAAAAGGACUGUCUUCUCGAUGAAAGGGUGAACGUUGAUCGAAGACAUCGACAAUUCGUUUCGAAGGACACGAUUGUUGCGAAAGGCUUCAAGAAAGAAAAGAUCGAACAAUGUCGAUACACGGCAGGGGUGCGACGAGGGAGACCGGUCCUCGCGGAAGUCCCUAUUGAUUCGCGGGGGUGGACGGCGAAAGGGGAGGAUUGAAGAUGUAGAGACGGGAAAGCACGAGAGGCCUGAAAAUGGACAAUUAGAGGCAAGAUGGACGCGGCUAAUGCCAUCGGCAAUAACACUCGAGACUUCUGCAGCACCAGGUACAAGGACUUCAUCCCUCCUGAGGGUGAGCUGUGGUGCGAACAGGUCUGGGACUCGCUGCUCUGCUGGCCGCCGACCAAAGCCUCGGCGACGAUCAAACAGAGAUGCCCCUUCGAGGACGGAUUCGAUACGACCAAAUCCGUGGAGAAGAAGUGUGGUUACAACGGCCGCUGGGAGGGUCAGAAUGGAACCAGCAGCGAGGACUCGACACACGGGUGGGCAAACUACACGACCUGCUUCACCCCGGAAAUGCUGAUGUUACACGGGAAAGUUUACACGAACGAUAUCGAGGGCAACAUGAAGAUGGAUAUUGCAGAGAAGACCCGGACGUUGGAGUUCGUUGGUCUGAGCAUUUCUUUGGUGGCGUUGCUCGUCUCUCUUGCCAUAUUCUGUCGGUUCAGAUCCCUGAGGAACACCAGGACCAGAAUACACAAGAACCUGUUCGUUGCGAUGGUCGUCCAGGUUCUUAUACGAUUAACCGUGUACAUAGACAUUGAAAUUCUGAGGAAGAAAACGUACGGAAUUCAGAGGGGAAUAGGGAACACUCCUGUCCUCUGCGAGGCCAGCUACGCUCUGCUCGAGUACGCCAAAACCGCCAUGUUCAUGUGGAUGUUUAUAGAAGGCUUGUUCCUCCACAACAUGGUCACCGUGACGGUGUUCCAAGAGACGUCUUACUACCGGAUGUACCGUUUCAUCGGCUGGGGAUGUCCUGUUGUGAUGACCUUAGUCUGGGCAGUCAUCACGGCGUUCUACUAUCACCCGAAGUCAAAGUUUUCCAGAUGUUGGUCCGGGUACAAUUUGUCUUCCUACUUUUGGAUCCUCGAGGGACCUAGGUUCGCGGUGAUAUUGCUCAAUUUUCUGUUCCUGCUGAACAUCGUGAGGGUGCUCGUGCUGAAACUGCGGCAGAGUCAUACCAGCGAGAUCGAGCAAGUUCUGAAAGCUGUCAGAGCAGCUGUGGUGCUUCUGCCAUUGCUAGGCAUCACGAACGUCCUGUUCAUGAUUGAGGUGCCGUUGCACAACGUGAAGAAGUUCGCCCUGUGGUCUUAUUCCACUCAUUUCCUGCAGUCGUUUCAGGGCCUCUUUAUCGCGACCCUUUAUUGCUUCCUAAACGGAGAGGUGAGACUGGCCCUGGACAAAACCAUUUCUGUUUACUUAUCCUUGAGAGGAACUGACCUGCAAGCGAGAAGGCAGUCGACCUUCAGUGGCUGUCAACCACAACGGAUUGCGUCAGUGAUCGAGAUGGAGGAGGAGGAGAUGAGAUCCAGCGGUUGGAUAAGACUGUGCUGUCGUGGUGGGAACACUCCACCGCCGGACCGACCUGCCGAGUGAGUAAUGAUCGGGGAAAGCUCGCCAAUCCGCGUUUAGGUCAUUACCAGCAUCGACGGUCGAUCCUCCUCGCAAGAUCAUACCAAACAGCAGUCUGACGUAGCAUCCCCACAUCCCCCCGACGACUUCCUCAAAGCACGGAAACCUGGCCAGCUCGCCUCGCCAAGGGAAAGAUGAUCACUUGGAGGACAUCGAGCCGGAGGGACAAUGAAUCAAGUGCACAGUCCGAAACCAGAUCAUCGUUAGCAUGUCUAUCUGUAGACCCAUCUUCGAGCUGAGAGUGUUCGAGCGCUUAAACUUGUCCUUAGUCGAUCAGGAAAUUAAUAAUGUUGAGUUCGCAUUACCACAUUGUACGCGAGUCACGUGAAAAUACUAAAAUAUUAAAUAAUAUUUUUGUUUAUUAUUACAUAAUAUUAUACAUUAUUAUAUAUUAUGUAUUAUUAUUAUAUAAGAAAAUAGUAAAUAUUAAAUAUUUAAAUACUAACAUUUUAUGUAAAAAUAUCUAAAUUAAAUGUUAUUAACAUUUUACGUUGGAAGUAAAGGUUUGAUCUAUUCACGUGUGAUUGGCAGUACUUCUGUUUGCAAUAAAAUCUUAGGAACAUACAUUGAGUAACCAGCAGCUUGGCUGAAUGUAAGUGAUAUCAGUUGAAACGAAUAAAACAACUCACGUACAAUGUGUCAAAUUAAAUGGGACUCGAUGUGCGUAAGAAAUUCUUUUCGAAUUACUAGAAUCGCUUAAUUUAGAUAUUUUAAUAAUUAAUAAAUGAAAAUAGGUGAUGGUUUUCUAAGAUGAGGGACAAGUUUGACGAAAAUCAAAUGUUUCCAAUGGAAUUGGGAACUUUUCAACCCUCGGAGAUCUGUGUUGAAUCAAGUUUAACCCACACGCAUUUUACUUUUGUUAUGUUACCAUUUGCGUGAUUCAUUGACUUGCAUUAAUUGAUAUUUUAAAUUCUAAAUUUGGUUAUUGAAGGUAUAUAAAUGAACUGAAGAAUACGAAUGAAUUAAACAAAAUAUAAAUAAGUAGCUUUUAUGUUGUACAUUGUAUUAUUAUAUAUAUUAAUUAUUGUCAAUUGCUACAAAGAAAUGUAAAUAGAAAUAUAUUUUUGUUAACAAUUGACAAUUAUGGUCGCAUUAGAAUUUAUAUUUAUUGUAAGAUAGAGUUCUCCAGAACAUGCUUCUAAAUUGAGCCAGCACCGUACACCGAGGGUUAAAGGAAAUAAUAAUUCUUUUAUGGAGAGUCUGAGAAAAUGAAAGGUGGCAUUACAGUUAGACAAUACUGCAUAUCAAUACCUCCGUUUAGUUAAAGAAUCGUUUGUCAAAUGAAUUUUGUAUCAAAGACUUGAGAUUUCUUUGGUAUUUGUAAAUUAUAAAUUUUCUAUGUGUCGAGAUAUUAAGAGAUUAAUGAGAAGAUAGACGAUGGAAGAUAAUUUUACUGGUUUAAAGUGGUUUAAGGAUCUUUGAACUCGAGGAAAAUCGAUGCUAAGGACUCGAAUUCAGGAAGGAGACGCUUAGUGUCGGCCUUCAGUCAUUGAACGAUUACCCGGUGAUAAUGAGGCACGACUAGUGAAGGACAAAACGCUUAAAGUCCUCGUUCAAGUUCAGUUUCUAAUAGCGUGACGUGUUUCUAGUGAAAUGGAACCGAGAAUCGUCCACUGAAUCACAGAGUCAAUUACUUAUAUUUGCGUGAAAUUAAUUUAAAUAGAAAUUACCAUUAAUUUUUAGAUUUCCUGGAAGUUUGAACUCGUUUGGAAUUGUUUGAAGUGAUUAACAUUUUUCCUAUUUAAAUAGUCAGUUGAUCGUGAAUAUUUUUGAAAGUGUAAAAUAUAAUUUCUCAGUAUUAUAAUAUUAUAACUUUAAAAUGUCAUAAUACUCCAAUUUUGCAAUAUUAUAAUAUUACGAUUUUGUAAUGGUAUAAUAUUAUAAUUUAAAACUUCAUUCAUUUGAAUUCGACUAAAAUAUUAUAUAAAUACAGUUGACUUUUUCACACUGCUGACUCUAUGAUCUUUUGUGUACAUUGAACGCCAAAGGCAGAGAAAAAUGGACAUGUCCAGAUAACGAAAAGGGAAAAUCGUGUAUAUUUAUGGGAAAAGUGUGAACAUACCUCACUCCGACAUUUUUUAACCGAGUCGAGGCGAUCUGUUUCUAAUAUAUUAAGUGGAUGUGUGCAUUUGCUGUUUAUAUGCUUUCAUGAAUCUCUGUAAUCAGUGCUUGCGAAGCUAUUGUAAGAUAUCGUAACGAAUUUCUAGUAAUUAGUCAGUGGAGGCAGUCUCCUUAAAGAAAACUUCAAACAUUUCGAUUCCCAAAUAGGAAUUUAUUUCAUUAAAAUUUUUCAUGAAGUAAAUUUUUCUAUGUCAGAUAAAGAGAGCGAGAGAGAGAGAAAGGGAGAAAAUGUGCGUGUAAUUGUAUAAUAAGAAAAACCAGAGUGUAUCUUGCAAAUCUUGUGCAGAUUCCGUAAUAUUUUCCACUUUGAAAUGAAAGUUCGAAUAUCUUGAAAACGAGGGUGAAGAGUGGAUACUUUUCUUCGAGGAAAGAGGAAUUUUUACUUAUAUGGGUCACGAAAGUUUCAAGUGUUUUAUCCAAAGUUUUCUUUUUCUCCAAAAUUCAACACUUUUGCAUCAUGGGAGAACGAGAAAAGCUUUUAGAAAGUGCUGGUACAUUAAAAUGAUCAUCUGAAAAUCGAGUAAAGUAUUUCAACCCUUUACCUUCUGAUUUCUUCUACAAAUACACUUGCCAAGACCAUUUCAUUAUUAAUAAUUUCCUAAGAAACAAAAAAGAAUUCUAUUUCUGUUUCAUAUCUACAUUCACUGCAAAGUUAAAUAAUUAACAAUAAAGACUAAUGUUUAAUUUUAACUCAAUUAAACAUAACAAUCAGAUUUGAAUGCAAAAUUCAAUUUUGAUAAAUAAGAAUCACAAAACUCAGGUGAAAACAGUAUUUUUUCGUUGAAUUAUUUUUUAGGUAGGAUUGUAUUGAUUAAGUACUAGGUCAUUGACGACGAAAUAACAUUUUCAGUAACAAUCUAAAUUGUUUCAAAGUUUGUUUCGUAUUUUCUUUUGAACAUUUGUAUGAUUUACGAAUAUAAAAAGGAGAAUAAAAUAUAAAACGGAUCCACAUUCUAAUAAUUUAUUAGUAUUUAAAUUAAUUAACUACUUUUUGAAAUUUUCGUCGUUAUAUUAUAAGGCGAAGGGUUAAAGCUCUAUUAUUUUAAAGACAAGACUGCCCAAUGAAAUUUUCAUAGGGAAAAAUUGCGUGGCAAGGGAAAAAGGAGAACGAGACAUUCUUCGAUCAAACAGUUGGUCUCAUUGUUUGAAAUCCACUCGAGCACCCGCGUGUUGGACUGCCUCCGCGUAUUCGAUGUGAAUCGAAGCUUUAAUUCUGAAGUGCCGGAAUGGCACGUACCGAAUCGUGUCAGAAUUUACGCGAAGUACCUGGAACAUUUCUCUGCGUCUGGCAAGCAAGUGAUCGAACAUACGGCCUAAAUUAUUUUUCGAAUAAAAAAUUCCAUCUGACGUGAAUACCAUAAAUAUAGUAUAACACACAAUGUAAACUAAAUGUUCUUUAUUUUAGAGAAUUUCGAACCUUGCAUUCAAUUUAAAUAAUUAACAAAAGUAUUAAGAAGAAGUGUACUUUACUCUUGUUGAAAAAUUUGGUUUCAAAAACUGUAUCAAAUAUGAAUUAUUUAGUAAUUCAAUUAUCAGAUUCGGUGAUUCAAUUAUCAUAAUUGGUAAUUUAAUAAUCAUAUUUUAUAAUUCAAUAACGAGGCUUGGUAAUUGAAAUUUUUUUAAAACUGAAAUUUGCAUAGGAAAAUUAUUUUAUACAUUACCUCUUUACUUUUUUUACGCAGGAUUAUAAAAUAUGAAUUGUUCAAAUUUUACAGUGAAUUGUCUGUUUGGGCUUGUUCUUUAACCACUUGCUUGUCGAAGAAAACAAAAUGUGUGUUUUUUUAUCGUGAAAGCGACACUUCGUAAAUUUUGGACUGGACUUUAGAGUAUUGAAUACAGUCACGUCGUCUGUUUGUAAGCUUUGUUAAGAGCCGAAGAUAAUUAGGCUUAAGACUAACCAAUUAGCGGACGCGUCAUUGCUUAAGUGACUUUGUAGCUGAGCGUUUUUUUAAGAUGCAAAUAAAUAAUCGUGACAACGAUUGCGGUUCCAGGAGUCGAUCCUUUAAUAAUUUUAUUGUCUUUUUCAAUAAUAUUAUUUUAUUUACUUAUUUUAUUCUUAAAAAUAUUUGAAAGCUAAGCGUUUUUAAUGUUUUUUAUUAUUAAUAUUAUAUAGUAAUUAAUAUUUAAAGUACUUAUUUAUUUAUUUAUUAUAUGCUCUGAAAGGAAAAGAAAAUAAUUUAUUGUACCCACAAAAGUUUUUUUUAUUGCGACAGUGAACUAUACAAGAACGUGUUACAGCAUAUAAAUAUCUUCAAAAAAAUAGUAAUAAAAUCUUCUUUACAAAUUCCAUUUUAUACAAUGUUCAAACAACGUAACAUUUAAUAUUCAUAUAAUCUAUGAGCAUGUAUACUCAAAGGAAACUUUAUUACUACUUAAUUAAAUCAUAAAAGUAACUUUGUUACUGCUACGAAUGCAAGCUUUGCAUGAACAUUGAAAUUAACAUUUAAAUGAACUCAUGUUGCUGCGUUUUCUUUUUAUAGUUAUAGUAUUUCACACAGACUCGACGAUUGGGCGGAUUCAAGUAUGUAAUUCCUACACUCCCACUUCUUCUAUAGAAAAAAAUAAUGAGAAUAUAAAAUUAUAUUAUUCUAUAAAGUUCUAGAUAAAUAUUCUAGCUCAUAGUAAUUAUUUCAGUCUCGGCCUUUAUAAAAGGAUUUGGUUCCCCAUAAAUGUUUCACCCAUCAUCAAGAUACUUGUUGAUAAUUGCUAAUUAAUAUAGGGAAAAUUCAAUUUUUCUGUUUUAAUUUAAUCAAAUGAUGAAACUGAAUUUUAUACUAACAAUAUGGACGUGUUGUAAUUUACGCUCUGCAUACAUAAUAUAAAUUUAUACACCUAAUAUAAAAACUUAUUUGUAAUUUCAACAUAUUUUGAUAUAUAUUUUGCUGUUAACAAAUAAUUAUUUCCUACGAAAAGUACUUCAUAAUAGUUAACGAAUUAAGUAAAUUCUAUGUUCCCUGAAAAUUUAAGUAUACAAGGUAACUUUGCACUGUUUCAACUUAACAUAUUUAUUAGUUUGAUAAAAAAGAAUUGCAUAGAGAAACGGCCUAUGCAUUUGUUAACAAGUUUAGCUCGAUUCUAUCCAUAUCAGGCAAAGAAAUAAUACUCUGUGUCAUGAAGACUAUCACAGAUAUGUUUUAAAAGACCUUAGAGUGUUUAAUAUGAUUUAAACAUUCACAAUUAUGUAGAGAAAAUCAGUAUGAACACUUCGCUCUCGGAGA